AUGGCGGUCGCCGCGCUCAAGGUGCAGCUGAACGCGCUCCUCUCCAACAUGUUCGCCACGGGUAUGGUGGACGAGCAGUUCCAGCAGCUGCAGUCGCUGGAGGAGGGGGGCACCGCGUCGGGCUUCGUCGCCGAGGUCGCCACCCUCUUCAUCGAAGACGCCGACCGGAUCAUCGCCGACAUCGCCGCCCUGCUGGACCAGCCGGUGGUGGAUUUUGACAAGGUGGACGCCCACGUGCACCAGCUCAAGGGGAGCAGCUCGAGUGUUGGUGCUCAGAAAGUGAAGCUCGCCUGCAUGCACUUCCGCCAGUUCUAUGAGGCAAAAAGCAAAGAAGGGUGCCUCAUGGCGCUGGCUCUUGUUAGGAGCGAGUUCUGUGAUGUGCGCAACAAGUUCCAGACCAUGAUGCAGCUGGAGCAGCAGAUCGAGGCGUGCAGUCCGAAGUAG
rnacentral:rRNA from 1 species